UACGUAGGGUGCAAGCGUUGUCCGGAAUUAUUGGGCGUAAAGAGCUCGUAGGCGGUCUGUCGCGUCGGCUGUGAAAACCUGGGGCUCAACCCCAGGCCUGCAGUCGAUACGGGCAGACUAGAGUGCUGUAGGGGAGACUGGAAUUCCUGGUGUAGCGGUGAAAUGCGCAAAUAUCAGGAGGAACACCGGUGGCGAAGGCGGGUCUCUGGGCAGUAACUGACGCUGAGGAGCGAAAGCGUGGGGAGCGAACAGG
rnacentral:rRNA from 1 species